AGUGAACGCUGGCGGUAGGCCUAACACAUGCAAGUCGAACGGCAGCACAGUAAGAGCCUGCUCUUACGGGUGGCGAGUGGCGGACGGGUGAGGAAUACAUCGGAAUCUACUUUUUCGUGGGGGAUAACGUAGGGAAACUUACGCUAAUACCGCAUACGCCCUACGGGUGAAAGCAGGGGAUCUUCGGACCUUGCGCGAUUGAAUGAGCCGAUGUCGGAUUAGCUAGUUGGCGGGGUAAAGGCCCACCAAGGCGACGAUCCGUAGCUGGUCUGAGAGGAUGAUCAGCCACACUGGAACUGAGACACGGUCCAGACUCCUACGGGAGGCAGCAGUGGGGAAUAUUGGACAAUGGGCGCAAGCCUGAUCCAGCCAUACCGCGUGGGUGAAGAAGGCCUUCGGGUUGUAAAGCCCUUUUGUUGGGAAAGAAAAGCAGCAGGUUAAUACCCCGCUGUUCUGACGGUACCCAAAGAAUAAGCACCGGCUAACUUCGUG
rnacentral:rRNA from 1 species